UAUACAGUCAAUGAAAACAUGUAGCUAGGUUAGUGAAGUAUACAGUCAAUGAAAACAUGUAGCGAGGUUAGUGAAGUAUACAGUCAAUGAAAACAUGUAGCGAGGUUAGUGAAGUAUACAGUCAAUGAAAACAUGUAGCUAGGUUAGUGAAGUAUACAGUCAAUGAAAACAUGUAGCUAGGUUAGUGAAGUAUACAGUCAAUGAAAACAUGUAGCUAGGUUAGUGAAGUAUACAGUCAAUGAAAACAUGUAGCUAGGUUAGUGAAGUAUACAGUCAAUGAAAACAUGUAGCGAGGUUAGUGAAGUAUACAGUCAAUGAAAACAUGUAGCUAGG